rnacentral:tRNA from 1 species
CGGGGAGUGGCUCAGCUUGGCUAGAGCGCUUGCUUCGGGAGCAAGAGGUCAGCGGUUCAAAUCCGCUCUCCCCGA